ACGGCGUUCUCGCCGGAUGUAGGAACCGACCCGGGGACCGCCGGGGCAACCCGGCGCCCCCGAGACGGGGCGAACCACGGUGAAAUGACGGAUCGUCGGCCCCGCGCCGGCGACUCGCCGAAUGAGUUUCUGACCUAUCAACUCGAGACGGCGGGGUAGAGGCCCGCCGCGGUAACGACGGGUAACGGGGAAUCAGGGUUCGAUUCCGGAGAGGGAGCCCGAGAAACGGCUACCACUUCCAAGGAAGGCAGCAGGCGCGCAACUUACCCCUAAUCUCGAUUCGAGGAGGUAGUGACAAGAAAUACCGAUGCGGGACCCUACGGGUGCCGCGUUCGGAAUGAGUACGAUUCGAACCACCUAACGAGGAACGAUCGGAGGGCAAGUCUGGUGCCAGCAGCCGCGGUAAUUCCAGCUCCAAUAGCGUACGUUAAAGUUGCUGCAG
rnacentral:rRNA from 1 species